rnacentral:rRNA from 1 species
AGAGUUUGAUCCUGGCUCAGAACGAACGCUGGCGGCGUGCCUAAUACAUGCAAGUCGAACGAGAAAGUGGCUUCGGCCAUGAGUAAAGUGGCAGACGGGUGAGUAAUACAUAGGUAAUCUACCCUCAAGAUGGGGAUAACCUUCCGAAAGGAGGGCUAAUACCGAAUGAGACCACAGUUACUACGGUGACAGGGGUCAAACGGUGGCCUCUACUUGUAAGCUAUCGCUUGAGGAUGAGCUUAUGCACCAUCAGCUUGUUGGUGAGGUAACGGCUCACCAAAGCUUUGACGGUUAGCUGAUCUGAGAGGUUGAUCAGCCACACUGGAACUGAGACACGGUCCAGACUCCUACGGGAGGCAGCAGUAGGGAAUAUUGCGCAAUGGAGGAAACUCUGACGCAGCGACGCCGCGUGGGUGAUGAAGGCCUUCGGGUCGUAAAGCCCUGUCGGAAGGAAAGAAAAACGGUUUGGCUAACAUCCAAGUCGCUUGACGGUACCUUUAAAGGAAGCACCGGCUAACUACGUGCCAGCAGCCGCGGUAAUACGUAGGGUGCGAGCGUUGUUCGGAAUCAUUGGGCGUAAAGCGCGUGUAGGUGGUUAGGUAAGUCGGGUGUGAAAUCCCUGGGCUCAACCGAGGAAGUGCAUCCGAAACUGCUUAGCUAGAGGACGGUAGAGGAAGGUGGAAUUCCUAGUGUAGAGGUGAAAUUCGUAGAUAUUAGGAGGAAUACCUGUGGCGAAGGCGGCCUUCUGGGCCGUUCCUGACACUGAGACGCGAAAGCGUGGGUAGCAAACAGGAUUAGAUACCCUCGUAGUCC